rnacentral:rRNA from 1 species
UACGUAGGGGGCAAGCGUUGUCCGGACUUACUGGGCGUAAAGCGUGUGCAGGCGGGCCGCUAUGUGCCGUGUGAAAGCUCUCAGCUUAUCUGGGAGAGGUCGCGGUAGACAGGCAGCCUGGAGGCUCGGAGAGGUCAGUGGAAUUCUCGGUGUAGUGGUGAAAUGCGUAGAUAUCGGGAGGAACACCAGUGGCGAAGGCGGCUUCCUGGCCUGCUCUUGACGCUGAGGCGCGAAAGCUAGGGUAGCAAACGGG